GUAAUGAACGCGGCGGCAGGCCUAACACAUGCAAGUCGAACGGUAACAGGAAGAAGCUUGCUUCUUUGCUGACGAGUGGCGGACGGGUGAGUAAUGUCUGGGAAACUGCCUGAUGGAGGGGGAUAACUACUGGAAACGGUAGCUAAUACCGCAUAACGUCGCAAGACCAAAGAGGGGGACCUUCGGGCCUCUUGCCAUCGGAUGUGCCCAGAUGGGAUUAGCUUGUUGGUGGGGUAACGGCUCACCAAGGCGACGAUCCCUAGCUGGUCUGAGAGGAUGACCAGCCACACUGGAACUGAGACACGGUCCAGACUCCUACGGGAGGCAGCAGUGGGGAAUAUUGCACAAUGGGCGCAAGCCUGAUGCAGCCAUGCCGCGUGUAUGAAGAAGGCCUUCGGGUUGUAAAGUACUUUCAGCGGGGAGGAAGGGAGUAAAGUUAAUACCUUUGCUCAUUGACGUUACCCGCAGAAGAAGCACCGGCUAACUCCGUGCCAGCAGCCGCGGUAAUACGGAGGGUGCAAGCGUUAAUCGGAAUUACUGGGCGUAAAGCGCACGCAGGCGGUUUGUUAAGUCAGAUGUGAAAUCCCCGGGCUCAACCUGGGAACUGCAUCUGAUACUGGCAAGCUUGAGUCUCGUAGAGGGGGGUAGAAUUCCAGGUGUAGCGGUGAAAUGCGUAGAGAUCUGGAGGAAUACCGGUGGCGAAGGCGGCCCCCUGGACGAAGACUGACGCUCAGGUGCGAAAGCGUGGGAGCA
rnacentral:rRNA from 1 species